UAAAAAUAUAUUGUGGAACAACUUUUUUCAGUUCUGGUGCUGACAAUAUCUAUUCAUUCAUCCACCUUUGUGCCCACUCGCUCACCUCUGUGCCCACUCGCCCACCUCUGUAUGCUUAAAGCCCUGACCGUUAUCACAUGUUGGGUGUGUUCACCUGAGCUACUUUGCAAAAUAGAUGUACUGCAGCGUAAAAUAAAGAAGUUAAAGAGAGAGAACAUCUGUCUGAGGCCGUGCAUUAGUGCAGGUGAAGAUCUUUUUCAGUUGCUGCUACUAUUAAAAAAACAUUCAUGGAGUUCAAUACCAUAUUGCAGCCAAGAGAUUGUACCAAGAGACUGUAAGAAAAGUGUUCCUCCCAAGUGAAAGAUUUAAUCUGACCAGUCAAACCAGCAGCUGACUCACAAUCAGAGCCAUAACAGGUGGAGAAUGCAGAGACGCCCUGAAUUACUACCUAACUUUAUUUGUUUUUUUUCCCCAUUUUCCAUUUAUUCAUUUACAUUAGAAUUUAUAUAUAUAUUUUUUCCAUUGAUUAAUUUAAAUUAAUUGCUUA